UAUGCACCUUUUGACAUCAUUAGGUUGCAGAGAGCGAGGGUCUAUGUCUACAUUCUGUGUUCUGAAACCCAUGAGCACUCAGAAUGAUUAAUAGCCUGACAUC
rnacentral:snoRNA from 1 species